AUGUUCGUUGCAAGCGCCGACGUGCGAAACCUGACGCCAAGACUCUGCGAGCGCACCUGCCUUUGUGAAAGUGCGAGGCCGCCACUUCCUGUUUGGACUUGUACUUUUCGGUAUUACAGCAAAUCAUUGCUCAUUGACAGUAGACGAGUUUUUGUACGGACGGCUCACCGCUUUGCAUCACUGUGGUGGAGUUUCGCUGAAGAAGGAACCAAACUUAUCCUUGCGGGUGAGGUGCAUCGGCCCACCGUGACCCUCUUCCCUCCUUCCAAGGAGCAGCUGCAAACGGAACAGGCCACAGCCGUGUGCCUGGCCAAAGGGGGCCCCCAAACCUGGACCCUGGGUUGGAAGGUUGAUGGCGCCCCCGCUACCUCGGGGGUAUCGCACAGCUCCCUGGAAGAGGCUGAUGUAGGUGGGCUUUACAGCUGGACCAGCACCUUGAGCCUCUCACCGGACCAGUGGCGCAAGGCCCAGUCAGUGAGCUGCGAGGCCAGCCUAGCCGGGCAAAACCCUGUCACGCAAACCCUGCCGAACCCAGGACAAUGCUCAGAGUAGAGCCUGAAUUCGUGUCUGUGUCUUUGCGACGUUGAAGCAUUGUGAAAUAAAAAUG